rnacentral:lncRNA from 12 species
AUGAGGAGCCUGAGGCCAGAGAGCAGGGGAACUCGUGGCUUCUCAGCCUUGUCUCUGCCUGCAAAGAAUGGAAACCUGGAAUUCAUACCAGAAGAUACAGAAACAACCAACAAGCAUAGACAAGCUGCUUGGAGUCCUGGAUGUGCAAACAGAGUGACAUGGCAUAGUUUCCCACCAACCAGAUGGGAAAGUGACUGAGAAGCCACCUGCCCUGGCUGAAGAAAUAGGGCCAUCAGACCCAUGUAAUGACACCGCCCCUAGGCGGCGGUGCUAGUGGAGGCACUGCAGCCCGGAGGCCACCGGAGAGGGCCUUGGUUCCAGUAAAGAUAAGUUGCUGGCCUCUCCAGGGUGGAAAGGAUCAGUGUGACCAACUUUCCAUCAGGUUGCUGGCCAGUCUCUUGAAGAGGUGACCCCAUCAAGAACUCAGCGUUGGUCUCUGCUGCUGGAAGGUGGGGACCUGCCACAGCCAUGGUGCCAUACUGGGGCACACGCGCCGAGUCAGCCCUGCCGCGUGGCUGCAGUGUUCAUAGAUUCAUCGUGCAAGUGCUCGAGUGGCCCCGAGGCAAGUCAGUCUUCACCUCUCUGUUCCAGGCUGGACGCACACUCACCGUGCCCACCCAGUAACUGACUCCCCAGACCUCCUUGUCUCGGGUCUUCCCUUCUCCCAAGCGAGGGGCUGACCAGCCAGGCUACCGACUGCUGCCCAGUGUCCCCCUCGCGGCGCUGCCCCAGGACCAUGUCUCUCCACCAGUCUCUUAGGGAUGCUCCAAGAGGACUUUAGGGUGUCGGAGGUCCAUAUGUGGUUACAGAUCUAUCUGUGAGCCGAGCCUCCUCCCCCAGUUGACCCAAGGAACCCCUGCCCCGGAGCUACAGGCGGGCAGAAGAAGAGGCAUCAGAACAGAGAGGUGGGAAUGCGGGAGGCCAGCCCGCCUUGUUGCGGCCUGUGCACAGACGUGCUCAGCGCGAUCCGGAGUGCUCCCGUCUAUCACGUGGUGGAUUGCUGCUGGACCCGGCCACCUUAUGAUUACUGGAUCUGAUGGUGGCCAUGUCCAGUCACACGGUCACAUGAUGCCCCAUCACCAGACGCUGAGGCCCUGCAGGGUCCCUGUAGCAUUCCAGAAGCUCGGCUCCUGAAAUAGUUUUGCUGCGGCACUCGGAGCAUUCGCAUAGCAACCUCUUUCCAGGGCUGGCCAGCAGC